rnacentral:rRNA from 1 species
UACAGAGGGUGCGAGCGUUAAUCGGAAUUACUGGGCGUAAAGCGUGCGUAGGUGGUUCAAUAAGUUAGGUGUGAAAUUCCUGGGCUUAACCUGGGGACUGCGCCUAAUACUGUUAAGCUAGAGUAUUGUAGAGGAAAGUGGAAUUUCCGGUGUAGCGGUGAAAUGCGUAGAUAUUGGAAAGAACACCGAUGGCGAAGGCACUCUACUGGGCUAUUACUGACACUCAGAGACGAAAGCUAGGGGAGCAAAUGGG